rnacentral:rRNA from 1 species
UACGUAGGGUGCAAGCGUUGUCCGGAAUUAUUGGGCGUAAAGAGCUUGUAGGCGGUUUGUCGCGUCUGCUGUGAAAUUUCGGGGCUCAACCCCGAACUUGCAGUGGGUACGGGCAGACUAGAGUGUGGUAGGGGAGACUGGAAUUCCUGGUGUAGCGGUGAAAUGCGCAGAUAUCAGGAGGAACACCCGUGGCGAAGGCGGCUCUCUGGGACGGUACUGACGCUGAGACGCGAAAGCGUGGGGGAGCGAAACAGG